rnacentral:rRNA from 1 species
GGUAGACUAACAGGAUUCCCCUAGUAACGGCGAGUGAAGCGGGAUGAGCUCAAAUUUAAAAUCUGGCUGGUUUACUAGUCCGAAUUGUAGUUUAAAGAAGCGUUUUCGGUGGCAGCCUGGGUAUAAAUCCUUUGGAACAGGGUAUCAUAGAGGGUGAGAAUCCCGUCUUUGACUCAGUGCAUGCUACUAUGUGAUACGUUUUCAAAGAGUCGAGUUGUUUGGGAAUGCAGCUCAAAAUGGGUGGUAAAUUUCAUCUAAAGCUAAAUAUUGGCGAGAGACCGAUAGCGAACAAGUACCGUGAGGGAAAGAUGAAAAGAACUUUGAAAAGAGAGUUAAACAGUGCGUGAAAUUGUUGAAAGGGAAACGCUUGACACCAGUCAUGCGAGCGGAAAAUCAGUCUUUUGCAGUGGGGAGUUGUGUGGGUUCGGACCGCAAGGCCGGCCUGCGCUGCAUCUCUGCUGUAAGUGAUGCACUUUUUCGUUUGCAGGCCAACAUCAGUUUCUUCUGCUGGACAAAACUCUUGAGAAGGUGGCAGCUUAGGCUGUGUUAUAGCUCUUGAGCGAUACAGUGGAGGGGACUGAGGUUUUCGCAGCGCGUGCUCUCGGGCAAGGCUGAUUGGGUGCUAUGGGAUCGUUCGGUGUACAAUGCAUGCAUUUUGCGCCGUGUCUUUUCUAUACUCGCUCAACUCGGCUCUUCCGCGCUUAGGAUGUUGGCUUAAUGGUUUUAAUCGACCCGUCUUGAAACACGGACCAAGGAGUCUAACAUAUAUGCAAGUGUUUGGGUGGCAAACCCAUGCGCGUAAUGAAAGUGAACGUAGGUGCGAUCCGCAAGGUGCAGCAUCGACCGAUCUUGAUAUUUUUGGAUAGAUUUGAGUAAGAGCAUAUAUGCUGGGACCCGAAAGAUGGUGAACUAUGCCUGAAUAGGGUGAAGCCAGAGGAAACUCUGGUGGAGGCUCGUAGCGAUUCUGACGUGCAAAUCGAUCGUCAAAUUUGGGUAUAGGGGCGAAAGACUAAUCGAGCCAUCCU